GAUUUCGUAGGUAUUUUUAAUUUUGAUAUUUUUUUAAAAUAUUUACGGGGAGUAAUACGCUUUCGUUCUUUAAGGUAUCUAUUUUAGGUUUUAUUAAAAGGGAAAUCUUUUUAUAAUUUUUUUGUUUUUUAUCAUAAAUGUUUUUUUUAAAAGUAAGUUGUUGUGUAAUAACGUUUUUAUGGAUGCUUGUAUUAAAAGUAAAUUAGUUUAAUAAUUUUUUUUAUAAAUUAAUGGAUUAGUAGAAAGAAAAUAUUUUUUUUGGUUUUUUGUUUAUUGAGAAUUUUAAAUUAUUUUUAUUUACUGAUUUUUUCUUAGACUGGUUAAUAAAAUCUUAGCUACAAAAUUUGUAGUAAUUUCUGCUCUAUGCUGAAAAGUAAAUGGCUGUUAAAAUACACUAAGGUAGCAAAAUCAUUAGCUAUUUAAUUGGUAGCUUGUAUGAAUGAAUUUUCUAGGAAGAUAUUAAUUUUUUUCUUGAAUUUAUAAAUUUGUUGAAAAUAACAAAUUUUCCUAUAAGACUAAAAGACCCUAAAAUUUUUAUAAUUGUAAGAAAUUAUUUGGUUGGGGCAACAAUAAAAGGUUAACAUUAGGUGUUUUAUUUUUCUUUGAACUUUUUUUAAUGAUAGAAGGUAAAAUACUUUAGGGAUAACAGCUUAAUUAUUUUUAAAAGUUCUUAUUAUUAAAAUAGUUUUAGACCUCGAUGUUGGAUUGGGAUUACUUUUUGGGGCAG
rnacentral:rRNA from 1 species